rnacentral:rRNA from 1 species
UAGGGAAUAUUGCAAAAUGGGCGAAAGCCCGAUGCAGCAACGCCGCGUGGGCGAUGAAGGCCUUCGGGUCGUAAAGCCCUUUUUGAGGGGAUGAGGAAGGACAGUACCCUCAGAAUAAGCCUCGGCUAACUACGUGCCAGCAGCCGCGGUAAAACGUAGGAGGCGAGCGUUAUCCGGAUUUACUGGGCGUAAAGCGCGUGCAGGCGGAUUGGAGAGUUGGAUGUGAAAGCUCCCGGCUUAACUGGGAGAGGUCGUUCAAUACUUCCAGUAUUGAGUGCAGCAGAGGGAAGUGGAAUUCCGGGUGUAGUGGUGAAAUGCGUAGAUAUCCGGAGGAACACCAGUGGCGAAAGCGGCUUCCUGGACUGUAACUGACGCUCAGACGCGAAAGCUAGGGUAGCAAACG